rnacentral:rRNA from 1 species
AUUGAACGCUGGCGGCAUGCCUUACACAUGCAAGUCGAACGGCAGCAUGAUCUAGCUUGCUAGAUUGAUGGCGAGUGGCGAACGGGUGAGUAAUACAUCGGAGCGUGCCCUGUAGUGGGGGAUAACUAGUCGAAAGAUUAGCUAAUACCGCAUACGACCUGAGGGUGAAAGUGGGGGACCGCAAGGCCUCAUGCUAUAGGAGCGGCCGAUGUUUGAUUAGCUAGUUGGUGAGGUAAAGGCCCACCAAGGCGACGACCAGUAGCUGGUCUGAGAGGACGAUCAGCCACACUGGGACUGAGACACGGCCCAGACUCCUACGGGAGGCAGCAGUGGGGAAUUUUGGACAAUGGGGGCAACCCUGAUCCAGCAAUGCCGCGUGUGUGAAGAAGGCCUUCGGGUUGUAAAGCACUUUUGUCCGGAAAGAAAUCGCACUUACUAAUAUUAGGUGUGGAUGACGGUACCGGAAGAAUAAGGACCGGCUAACUACGUGCCAGCCGCCGCCGUAAGAC